GUUUAGGGCCUAAAUACCCUCAAGGUGGCAGAUCCUGGUUAAUUUCAGAAGCUAAUCAGGGUCACCCCUGGUUGGUACUUAGAUGAGAGACUGCUAAAGGAAUACCAGGUGCUGUAGGCC
rnacentral:rRNA from 11 species